rnacentral:pre_miRNA from 10 species
AGGGGUCUUCAUUAAGGUGGGUGGAAUAGUAUAACACUAGAACACGUGUUGUUAUAGUAUUCCACCUUCCCUGAUGGCCCU